rnacentral:rRNA from 1 species
CACACCGCCGUCACAUCACGAAAGUGGGCUGUACUAGAAGUGGCUGAGCUAACUCGUAAGGGGGCAGGUUACGACGGUAUGGUUCAUGAUUGGGGUG